UGGGGAAUAUUGCACAAUGGGCGAAAGCCUGAUGCAGCGACGCCGCGUGAGGGAUGACGGCCUUCGGGUUGUAAACCUCUUUCAGCAGGGAAGAAGCGCAAGUGACGGUACCUGCAGAAGAAGCACCGGCUAACUACGUGCCAGCAGCCGCGGUAAUACGUAGGGUGCGAGCGUUGUCCGGAAUUAUUGGGCGUAAAGAGCUUGUAGGCGGUUUGUCGCGUCUGCUGUGAAAUUUCGGGGCUUAACCCCGAACUUGCAGUGGGUACGGGCAGACUAGAGUGUGGUAGGGGAGACUGGAAUUCCUGGUGUAGCGGUGAAAUGCGCAGAUAUCAGGAGGAACACCGAUGGCGAAGGCAGGUCUCUGGGCCAUAACUGACGCUGAGAAGCGAAAGCAUGGGGAGCGAACA
rnacentral:rRNA from 1 species